GCCUCCGUAGCUCAGUGGAUUAGAGCGUCUGUCUUCGGAACAGAAAGUCGUGGGUUCGAGUCCCUCCGGAGGUACCA
rnacentral:tRNA from 1 species